AGCCACAGCUAUAACACCUUGUAACCCAAGACUGGUUACUCACUGAAGCUAUGCAGAGCUGAGCUUGGUCAGUACCUGGAUGGGAGACCCCAUCGAUAAACUAGGUUGCUGUUGGAA
rnacentral:rRNA from 1 species